rnacentral:sRNA from 1 species
GUUGUAAGGUCCCCACAUCCCUACCAGCUUCCACAGGCCUUGGCCCCCCAUGUGGACUUUGGUAACACCUAUGGGGUGAAUGGGGGUUGGGGCACACAGAUCCAGGGGCUGAGGAAGUUUAGAUGCCAUUGGGGACUGGGGGUGGGGUGAGUUGUAAGGUGGGCAUUACAGUCUAUAAGAUCUCCUCAAGCCUGACUUCUCCCUACAGUGGGGGGACUGCACCGUUUUCCCCCAACAUCAUCCCUGAGGCAACGUCCUGAGCCGCAGGUGACAGGGACUGUAGGCCUGCAUCUGGGGGUAACCCCCUCUGUGAUCCGUAAGCGAUACAACUUGACCUCACAAGACGUGGGCUCUGGCACCAGCAAUAACAGCCAAGCCUGUGCCCAGUUCCUGGAGCAGUAUUUCCAUGACUCAGACCUGGCUCAGUUCAUGCGCCUCUUCGGUGGCAACUUUGCACAUCAGGCAUCAGUAGCCCGUGUGGUUGGACAACAGGGCCGGGGCCGGGCCGGGAUUGAGGCCAGUCUAGAUGUGCAGUACCUGAUGAGUGCUGGUG